GCGGAGACAAAUGUUUCCGUUCACUCCUCACACCACAUUCCGCCCGCAAAUUCUGGGGCGGUU
rnacentral:sRNA from 1 species